GGGCCCGCACAAGCGGUGGAGCAUGUGGUUUAAUUCGAUGAUACGCGAGGAACCUUACCAGGGCUUAAAUGGGAAAUGACAGGGGCAGAGACGCCCCCUUCUUCGGACUACUUACAAGGUGCUGCAUGGUUGUCGUCAGCUCGUGCCGUGAGGUGUCAGGUUAAGUCCUAUAACGAGCGCAACCCCUGUUGUUAGUUGCCAUCGAGUCAUGUCGGGAACUCUAACAAGACUGCCGGUGCAAACCGUGAGGAAGGUGGGGAUGACGUCAAAUCAUCACGGCCCUUACGUCCUGGCCACACACGUGCUACAAUGGUUGGUACAGAGGGCAGCUACCGGGUGACCGGAUGCG
rnacentral:rRNA from 1 species